AUGUGUAUUCCAAAGGAGAGAGGAGGUAUGGGAUUCUGGGAUAUUCAUAGUUUUAAUCUGGCAAUGUUGGCAAAAUAGUGUUGGAGACUAAUUGAGAACUUUGGUUCCUUAUGUGCACAUGUUCUAAGAGCAAGGUACUACCCUAGAGGAGACCUUUUGAACUGUCAAUUGAAGAAGGGGUCGUCUUAUGUGUGGCAAAGCAUUUGGUCUGGCAUUCAAACUUUU
rnacentral:rRNA from 1 species